UACAGAGGUGGCAAGCGUUGUUCGGAAUUACUGGGCGUAAAGGGCGCGUAGGCGGCUUGGUCAGUCCCGUGUGAAAUCCCUCAGCUCAACUGAGGAAGUGCGCCCGAAACUGCAGAGCUUGAGUGCCGGAGAGGGUGGCGGAAUUCCCCAAGUAGAGGUGAAAUUCGUAGAUAUGGGGAGGAACACCGGUGGCGAAGGCGGCCACCUGGCCGGUUACUGACGCUGAGACGCGAAAGCAUGGGGAGCAAACAGG
rnacentral:rRNA from 1 species